AGGAGGAGAAGAGGAGACAUUGGAGUCAGAUAUACCUGGAUUUAAAUCUCAACUCUGCCCUUAUAAACUGAUAGCAAUGAUAAUCUCACCAAAAGUGUUUCUUUAUAUAUCGAAUGGGGUAAUAAUAUCUACUCUAUUAAAUAUGAUGAUACAGGUAAAGUUUAAUAUGGAACUUGCCAGAUAGUAACUCUCUACAUAAUGGUGGUGAAGGUGGUGGCGCUGGUGGUGAUUACCUUAAAGCUGAGGAUGGAGAAAAGUGGCAGGGAGGUACAAGAUUGCUGCUUGAUCAUAAAACUUUUCUCAUCUCUCAUUUAAACAAGUUUUCUCAGAUUGUUCUCCAGUAAAACAGUGGUGUCCUAUGAGCUGGUUCAAGGUGUUUUACAGAGUCACUCUAUACGAAGAUGCCCUAAAGAGUGAGUAAGAAGAAAUGGGAAACAGAGGAAACAUGUCCUGCUUUAUCCCAUGCUGUAUGCUAGUCAUCCCCAAGAAGAGAGAACCAUGCUGUUCAGAGCUAAUGAUUGAACAAGGUAGCUGAUCAAACUUUGGGAAACACGAAUGACUACAUCUUGACUCAUCUUCCUGUCAGAAAUCCUGAGGCUCAGAGUAACUUAUCAAUUGUUUGUUUUUGAUAAGUAGGGAGGACUUGCCUUGGGCCAACCACCUUCAGCCCCCACACUGAAGAUCUCUGAGUCAAGGUGUGAAUCAUCACAAGACUCAAGACAGGAUGUGCAAGUUCUUACUCCUGGCACAGUCAUCUCAAAAGGCUUGGUAUACCUCAAUAUGUGAAUAUCGACCAUAUUCAGCCUGAAGAUGGUCUGGACAGCAGAUUUUUCCUCUACUCCUCCCCCCAUUCCUCAGGGAAGCACCUCAGAAAUUACUAACAUCAUGACAGGAAAGGUAGAUAACUGUUCUCACCUGCCUUAGUUUACAAAGAAGCACGUAGUAGUGGUUUCUUAUAAGUACUCAGGACUAACGGAGAAAAUCUAAUGACUGUACUUUGGUCAUAGAGUGAACUUUGUUGGAUGUGUAAUCAUGAGCACUGGAUUAGAGAUAAACCCACAUUUUAGUCAUUGAAAAGAACAACAUACUGGGAGCAUUGGUUAUAUAUUAGAAUAAGAGAAAGCAGAUUUAUUUGGAUAUGUUCAAAAAGACCAACAUGUCAUAUUAACACAAUUCAUAAAUAGAACUAAUGAAAUCCAAAGUCAAGAAUAACAUCAGAGGCAGCUCAAAGUUGUCAUGAGGCAAGAUGAGCUUACCAACAUUUAAACCAGGUUAUAUAAAAAAUAAAACCAUUGUUUUUUUUUCUCCC